CCAUAAUAUCCAUAAAAAGAUAAAAAUAUCUAUAAUUUAAAGGGAAGUAAAUUUUUAUAUGAAGGGGGGAAAAAAUCACCACACUAUAUCGGUGAAUAGAAAAACACGAGGCCCAUCAAUUCUAGUAUAUUUAUUACAUAGAAGAGUUUCAUUUGUGAACGUAAUUGCUACAAUCGCCCAAGUAACGCUUGAGCUGGAGGAUGACGGAUUUACCACAUCGGGCUGUCGUGUAAUCCCUGUGAAUGUUUGAUCUGAUCUCCAUGAUACUCCCUCCGCACCAACUCCUUACAAGGGUGGACGCAACUGUGCUCAAAUCCAUAACGUUUCUAUUUCCAUGGCUCCACAAUCACAUGUUGCUUGCUCCAUGGAGAAGCAAUUUGCAGAGAGAUAUACAGCCCAUACCUUGCAUGAUUCCUGACAAGCAUUUAUUCCAAGUCACUCAUCGCACUCUAAAAUGGAAGAUGCCGAUUUCGUCUUCAUGAAUGUGAUAUCCAUGUCAUGUGCCAUGGCCAUGCUCCUAUGCCACUUUUAGACACAUCAUCUCUUGCUUUAACCCAAAGCACAUUGACAAAAGGGUACACAGUAGCUUCUCUCUCAAAAUAUACAAACACACCCCAUUGUCCCUUCAAUAGACAGGAACGA
rnacentral:lncRNA from 1 species